rnacentral:tRNA from 1 species
UUACAUGUCCUUUAACACA